rnacentral:lncRNA from 1 species
GAACCAGAUUACAGAGUCGCCUGGAACUCUAACACAGAAAACUACUUCAGGGAAGGAGAGGAGGAAAAAAGGAAUCAAGAAAAAAAUUAAAGAUUUGACUGAAGCUGGUCCUUGGUUAGUGAAGUUGUAUCUGGCAGAUAACGGCAUAGACAGGAGAGGAAAAGAAGGAGAAAAUGGCUUGUUGGAAUUCACUCAAAUUUUAACAUGCCUGAUCACAUACUCUGCUCACUUAAGAGAAAUUGACCUCAGAAACAAUGUCCUGGGAGAGAUGGCUGCUGCUGACAUACUUGAAGCACUAAGAGCCAGAAAGACAGGUAAACUCCCAGUCUUAAAAAUUACAGUCACUCCUCAAAUGUCUUCUGAUACCUUCAGAUCUAUUUGGAAAAAUAGCAGGAAAUCUAGGAUUACCAGUAAAAAGAAGAAGAAGGGUAAAAACUGAAUAUGGAUGUUCUAUAUCUUUACGGAUGCUCUCUGUUUCCAUGGCCAACUGGACAUGUGUAGAAAGAUCUUGCUUGUUCUAUAAGAAGAGUUUUCACUGGAGGUACACCUGGGUGGCUCAGUGGGUUAAGCCUCUGCCUUAGGCUCAGGUCAUGAUCUCAGUGUCAUGGAUUUGAGCCCUGUCAGGCUCUCUGCUCAGCGGGGAGCUUGCUUCCUCCUCUCUCUCACUCUCUGCCUGCCUCUCUGCCUCUUGUGAUCUCUGUC